ACUUAAAUUGAAGAGUUUGAUCAUGGCUCAGAUUGAACGCUGGCGGCAGGCCUAACACAUGCAAGUCGAGCGGUAGCACAGAGAGCUUGCUCUCGGGUGACGAGCGGCGGACGGGUGAGUAAUGUCUGGGAAACUGCCUGAUGGAGGGGGAUAACUACUGGAAACGGUA
rnacentral:rRNA from 1 species